CCCCAGUAUGUGGUCAAUCAUAGAUAAUGUUCCAUGUGCACUUGAAAAGAAUGCAUACUCUGGGUUUUUUUGGAUGCAAUGUCCUAAAAAUAUCAAUUAAGUCUAACUGUUCUAUUGUCUUUUAGGAUCUCUGUUGUCUUAAUGAUAUUCUAUCUAGAGGAUCUGACUAUUGACCUGAGUGAGGUGUUAAUGUCUUCUACUAUUACUGCGAUCCCGUCAAUUUCUCCUUUUACGUCUGUUAGUAUUUGUUGUAUGUAUUUGGGUGCUCCUAUGUUAGGGGCAUAUAUAUUGACGAUUGUAAUAUCCUUUUCUUGAAAUAUUCCUUUUAUCAACNUCUUGAAAUAUUCCUUUUAUCAACAAAUAGUGUCCUUUGUCUUUCUUUAUGGCCUUCAUUUUAAAGUCUAUUUUUUAUAUGAGUAUUGUAAUUCCUGUUUUCCUCUCAUUUCCAUUUGCAUGAAAUAUACUUUUCCAUCACUUCACUUUCAAUUUAUUUGUGUCCUUUACCCUAAGAUGAGUCUCUUGGUAGGCAACAAAUUGUAGGUUCUUGUUUUUUUUUAAUCUGGUCUGCCACUCUCUGUCUUUUGAUUGAAGCAUACAGCCCAUUGAUAUUUAAGGUAAUUAUUAAUAAAUAUGUUAUUUAUUGCCACUUUAAACCUUGUUUUCCAGUUCAGUCUAUGUUUCUCCUUUGUUCCUUUCUUUUCUGGUUUGAUAAUUUCCUUUUAUUUUAUGAAUGUGUCCUCUUACUUUUAGUUUUUGUGAAUGUAUUAUUUGGUUUUGAUUUGUGCUUGCCCUGUUUUUCAAGUAUGCUAACCCCUUCUUAUAUUGCUUGCUUUAGCCUGAUAGUCAUAGAGGCGCAAACACAUCCCAAAUAAAAAGCGUCUAGAUUUUCUUACUUUCCAUCCCACAUUUUAUGAUUUUGAAGUCCUUUUUCAACAUCAUCAUGUUCAUCCUUUUGUUGUUCCUUGUGUCACUUUUACAAAUAUGUCGGCUUUUUUUCCUUUUAGCCCUGUAUACUGACUUAUUUAAGUGAUUACUUUCCAUUUCCGAUUUCCUCUAUCCUAUAUCUUCUUUUUUUCUAUUUAGAGGACACGUUUCAGUUUCUUUUAUAGUGGUUUUAGUAUUGCUGUAUUCUUUUAUAUUUUGUUUGUUGGAGAAAUUCUUUAUUUCUCCUAUUUUAAAUUAUAUUCUUUAUGCAUAGAGUACUCUAGGCUGCACAUUUUCCCCUUUUAGAAUGUUGUCUUUUUUGUUGUUGUUGUUGUUGCCUUUUCUAGGGCUGCUCCCAGGGCACAUGGAGAUUCCCAGGCUAGGGGUCCAAUUGGAGCUGUAGCCACUAGCCUACGCCAGAGCCACAGCAACGAGGGAUCCGAGCCACGUCUGCAACCUACACCACUGCUCACAGCAAUGCCAGAUCCUUAACCCCCUGAGCAAGGCCAGGGAUCAAACCCACAACAUCAUGGUUCCCAGUUGGGUCAUUAACCACCGCGCCACGACAGGAACUCCUAGAA
rnacentral:lncRNA from 1 species